UCGCGUUCCUUUAAAUUUUGG
rnacentral:snRNA from 1 species